rnacentral:rRNA from 1 species
AUUGAACGCUGGCGGCAGGCCUAACACAUGCAAGUCGAGCGAGAGGCGGACGGGUGAGUAAUGUAUGGGGGCUGCACGAUAGAGGGGGAUAACUAAUGGAAACGGUGGCUAAUACCGCAUACUAUCGGAUAACCCAUAUGGGAUUAGCUAGUAGGUGGGGUAAAGGCUCACCUAGGUGACGAUCUCUAGCUGGUCUGAGAGGAGGAUCAGCCAAAAUGGGACGGAGACACGGCCCAGACUCCUACGGAGGGCGCAGUGGGGAAUAUUGGACAAUGGGCGCAAGCCUGAUGCAGCCAGGCCGCGUGGAUUAAGAAGGGCUUAGGGUUGUAAAGUACUUUCAGCGGGGAGGCGUUACCCGCAGAAGAAGCACCGGCUAACUCCGUGCCAGCAGCCGCGGUAAUAC